rnacentral:rRNA from 1 species
CCUACGGGAGGCAGCAGUAGGGAAUCUUCCACAAUGGGCGAAAGCCUGAUGGAGCAACGCCGCGUGGGUGAAGAAGGUCUUCGGAUCGUAAAACCCUGUUGUUAGAGAAGAAAGUGCGUGAGAGUAACUGUUCACGUUUCGACGGUAUCUAACCAGAAAGCCACGGCUAACUACGUGCCAGCAGCCGCGGUAAUACGUAGGGUGCAAGCGUUAUCCGGAUUUAUUGGGCGUAAAGGGAACGCAGGCGGUCUUUUAAGUCUGAUGUGAAAGCCUUCGGCUUAACCGGAGUAGUGCAUUGGAAACUGGGAGACUGGAGUGCAGAAGAGGAGAGUGGAACUCCAUGUGUAGCGGUGAAAUGCGUAGAUAUAUGGAAGAACACCAGUGGCGAAAGCGGCUCUCUGGUCUGUAACUGACGCUGAGGUUCGAAAGCGUGGGUAGCAAACAGGAUUAGAUACCCCAGUAGUC